UUUAUCAACAAGAGGAUUCAAGAGAGUUCUAGAGAGAAAGGAAGAGAAGAAACUUGAAGCUAGAGAAAGAAUAGGUUCGGCCAAGGGAAAAAAAAGCCCAAAAACGUUACCAAACAGCCCCAAAGUUUUAGCCGCGCUAGGAGAGCUUCCGAGGCAAGUUUUGGAGAGUUUCGGUAAAGAAAGACAAGUUGGAAGAAUAAGAAAAGCUAGUAAGGCGCGGUACAGGUA